ensembl:snRNA U2 U2 spliceosomal RNA
AUCGCUUCUCGGCCUUUUGGCUAAGAUCAAGUGUAAAAGUUACUAAUUGAGUGCUCCCCAUUUAGAUUACUUUUUUUUUUUUAAGAUUCCUU